rnacentral:rRNA from 1 species
CCUACGGGUGGCAGCAGUGAGGAAUAUUGGUCAAUGGUCGAGAGUCUGAACCAGCCAAGCCGCGUGAAGGAUGACUGUCCUGUGGGUUGUAAACCUCUUUUAUCAGGGAAUAAAACGAGGCACGUGUGCCUUUUUGCGUGUACUUUAUGAAUAAGCAUCGGCUAACUCCGUGCCAGCAGCCGCGGUAAUACGGAGGAUCCGAGCGUUAUCCGGAUUUAUUGGGUUUAAAGGGAGCGUAGGUGGGUUGUUAAGUCAGUUGUGAAAGGUUGGGGCUCAACCGUAAAAUUGCAUUUGAGACUGGCAGUCUUGAGUACAGUUGAGGUAGGCGGAAUGCGUGGUGUAGCGGUGAAAUGCUUAGAGAUCGUACAGAACACCGAUUGCGAAGGCAGCUUACCAAACUAUCUCUGACGUUGAGGCACGAAAGCGUGGGUAGCAAACAGGAUUAGAUACCCUUGUAGUC